CCCUAGUCGCUGCUCAUCUCGUUCAUUUUUUCUCACCCUCGAUCUCUCUCUCUUCUCACCCUCUCGAUCUUGCAUCGUUAGAUACCUUGGAAUGACGAUGAUGAAAUGGUACGACUUGUGUAGGUUUUUUUCAGCUAAAGUCCAGUAACUUCACGUGUACGAGUUCAACAAGCGUGAUCGUGGAAGCCCUGCCUACCUACGAUUUACUAUUAAUAAAUGGAAACUAUGAUAUAGCAGCCCAAGAACAUUAUUGAAUACAUCUUGCAGAUAAGCUUGGACCAACCAUGGCUGGAAGAAUGCAUUGAUUGCAUGAAGCACACAUUAUAUAAUAUGUAUUGGUGACU